GUCGGGAUGCCGGAGUGGUUAACGGGUAUGACUCGAAUUAUCUCUCUGUUCCGUUCAGAGAGAGCUGAUACAGUUCGUCAUCAUAUGGCUUCUGCCGCACAGGUUCGAAUCCUGUUUCCGACG